CAAUACUCGGCUUUUUAGGUUUUCACUUAACAGCCGUCACACCUCUUUCUCUCUCAUCAGUCCCUCACUCCCUCUCUCUCUCCUUUCCUCUCCUCCCCUCUCCGUCAUUCACCUCUUCUCUUUCUUUUCAAACUUAGGCCCUCUCAUUUCGAGGAGCAACGAGAAGAACUUGAGCAGCGAUUGCGUUCAUCUUGAGACUGGCGGCUUCAUACAUUAACUCCCAAGCGGCGUCGGUUUUGGGCGGAGGUGUAACCGGCGAUGACGAACAACCAAGCCCGUAGGCUUCUUCCUCUUUAGAUCUAAGUCGUUGAACGAACCGAUGCUAGGCACCUUAUUCUGAUCCAAGGACCAAUAUGCGUUAUGCCAAUGCUGAAGUUUUUAAGCAAAUCAGGUCACUUCCCAAUGAUUACGUGCAGCGGUAUCUGGCUCUUAGAAAUGCUGCUGUUGUCCUCAAGUAGUUUAUUGCUUCCCUUCAACAACCUUCUGUUUAGAUACUUGCCAUGUCCGUACUCCUUAGUCCCAUUGUUCAGAUAUGAUGAAGCCACUUUUGUCAGCAAAACUUUGCAUUACUUGAAGAUUAUCCACUAUUCCCUGCAGAACUAUGCAUCACAAAGUAAUACAACUGUAAUCUGUAAUCUGAUUCAAAUCAGGCAACUGAGGAUGUUGGGCAAGCAAUGCGGCAAAGCUACUCAAGAGUUUUGGAGAGCUUAGCAUUUACAUUAUGGCUAGACUAGACGAUUUAAUAUUUUAGGUAGUCUUAUGUAAACUUGUUUAAUUAUUAUUACAAUGAUUUGCUUUUGCUUUGUUUUAGUUUUAGUUAUUAGGAAAUUAUUAAAGCAGCUUUUCUUGAUUGUAUAUUAUUCGGUAA